AUUGAACGCUGGCGGCAUGCUUUACACAUGCAAGUCGAACGGUAACAGGGUGCUUGCACCGCUGACGAGUGGCGAACGGGUGAGUAAUGCAUCGGAAUGUACCGUGUAAUGGGGGAUAGCUCGGCGAAAGCCGGAUUAAUACCGCAUACGCCCUGAGGGGGAAAGUGGGGGACCGAAAGGCCUCACGUUAUACGAGCAGCCGAUGUCUGAUUAGCUAGUUGGUGAGGUAAAGGCUCACCAAGGCGUCGAUCAGUAGCGGGUCUGAGAGGAUGAUCCGCCACACUGGGACUGAGACACGGCCCAGACUCCUACGGGAGGCAGCAGUGGGGAAUUUUGGACAAUGGGCGCAAGCCUGAUCCAGCCAUGCCGCGUGUCUGAAGAAGGCCUUCGGGUUGUAAAGGACUUUUGUCCGGGAGCAAAUCCUAGUGGUUAGUAACCGCUGGGUCUGAGAGUACCGGAAGAAUAAGCACCGGCUAACUACGUG
rnacentral:rRNA from 1 species